rnacentral:hammerhead_ribozyme from 1 species
AUCCAUUUGAAGAGUCUCAAAAUAAGACGAAACGUGCGUCUUGGAU